GACAGAGGGUGCAAACGUUGCUCGGAAUCACUGGGCGUAAAGCGCGUGUAGGCGGACCAGAAAGUCAGGUGUGAAAUCCCUGGGCUCAACCCAGGAACUGCAUCUGAAACUUCUGGUCUGGAGUGUCGGAGAGGGAAGCGGAAUUCCGGGUGUAGAGGUGAAAUUCGUAGAUAUCCGGAGGAACACCGGUGGCGAAGGCGGCUUCCUGGACGAUUACUGACGCUGAGACGCGAAAGCGUGGGGAGCAAACAGG
rnacentral:rRNA from 1 species